AUACAGAGGGUGCGAGCGUUAAUCGGAUUUACUGGGCGUAAAGCGUGCGUAGGCGGCUUUUUAAGUCGGAUGUGAAAUCCCUGAGCUUAACUUAGGAAUUGCAUUCGAUACUGGGAAGCUAGAGUAUGGGAGAGGAUGGUAGAAUUCCAGGUGUAGCGGUGAAAUGCGUAGAGAUCUGGAGGAAUACCGAUGGCGAAGGCAGUCAUCUGGCCUAAUACUGACGCUGAGGUACGAAAGCAUGGGGAGCAAACAGGAUUAGAAACCCUAGUAGUCC
rnacentral:rRNA from 1 species